AAAUCGCUUAAUCAUUAUGAGCGGGGGACCCAUAAUAGGAUGAAUAAUGUCCUGCCGGGGUGAAUCCUACGUUUUGUAGGUAGGGAUACUCUUCUGUCCCGAAUCCGACAGCUAACCUCGUAAGCGUUGUGAGAGGGGA
rnacentral:sRNA from 1 species